CAAGACAACUUUACGGAGUUGACGAUUGACGGAGCGAAGCGACGUCAAAGCGUUCAUUAAAGUCGAGUUGGCUUAGGGAUACGUUCGUUGGGUAGGGGAGCGUUCUGUAAGCCUGUGAAGGUGUGUCGUGAGGCAUGCUGGAGGUAUCAGAAGUGCGAAUGCUGACAUAAGUAACGAUAAAGCGGGUGAAAAGCCCGCUCGCCGGAAGACCAAGGGUUCCUGUCCAACGUUAAUCGGGGCAGGGUGAGUCGACCCCUAAGGCGAGGCCGAAAGGCGUAGUCGAUGGGAAACGGGUUAAUAUUCCCGUACUUGGUGUUACUGCGAAGGGGGGACGGAGAAGGCUAUGUUGGCCGGGCGACGGUUGUCCCGGUUUAAGCGUGUAGGUGUGUGUUCCAGGUAAAUCCGGUUCACUUUUACACUGAGGCGUGACGACGAGGCACUACGGUGCUGAAGCAACAAAUGCCCUGCUUCCAGGAAAAGCCUCUAAGCAUCAGGUAACACGAAAUCGUACCCCAAACCGACACAGGUGGUCAGGUAGAGAAUACCAAGGCGCUUGAGAGAACUCGGGUGAAGGAACUAGGCAAAAUGGUGCCGUAACUUCGGGAGAAGGCACGCUGACACGUAGGUGAAGUGAUUUACUCAUGGAGCUGAAGUCAGUCGAAGAUACCAGCUGGCUGCAACUGUUUAUUAAAAACACAGCACUGUGCAAACACGAAAGUGGACGUAUACGGUGUGACGCCUGCCCGGUGCCGGAAGGUUAAUUGAUGGGGUCAGCGUAAGCGAAGCUCCUGAUCGAAGCCCCGGUAAACGGCGGCCGUAACUAUAACGGUCCUAAGGUAGCGAAAUUCCUUGUCGGGUAAGUUCCGACCUGCACGAAUGGCGUAAUGAUGGCCAGGCUGUCUCCACCCGAGACUCAGUGAAAUUGAACUCGCUGUGAAGAUGCAGUGUACCCGCGGCAAGACGGAAAGACCCCGUGAACCUUUACUAUAGCUUGACACUGAACAUUGAGCCUUGAUGUGUAGGAUAGGUGGGAGGCUUUGAAGUGUGGACGCCAGUCUGCAUGGAGCCGACCUUGAAAUACCACCCUUUAAUGUUUGAUGUUCUAACGUGGACCCGUAAUCCGGGUUGCGGACAGUGUCUGGUGGGUAGUUUGACUGGGGCGGUCUCCUCCUAAAGAGUAACGGAGGAGCACGAAGGUUGGCUAAUCCUGGUCGGACAUCAGGAGGUUAGUGCAAUGGCAUAAGCCAGCUUGACUGCGAGCGUGACGGCGCGAGCAGGUGCGAAAGCAGGUCAUAGUGAUCCGGUGGUUCUGAAUGGAAGGGCCAUCGCUCAACGGAUAAAAGGUACUCCGGGGAUAACAGGCUGAUACCGCCCAAGAGUUCAUAUCGACGGCGGUGUUUGGCACCUCGAUGUCGGCUCAUCACAUCCUGGGGCUGAAGUAGGUCCCAAGGGUAUGGCUGUUCGCCAUUUAAAGUGGUACGCGAGCUGGGUUUAGAACGUCGUGAGACAGUUCGGUCCCUAUCUGCCGUGGGCGCUGGAGAACUGAGGGGGGCUGCUCCUAGUACGAGAGGACCGGAGUGGACGCAUCACUGGUGUUCGGGUUGUCAUGCCAAUGGCACUGCCCGGUAGCUAAAUGCGGAAGAGAUAAGUGCUGAAAGCAUCUAAGCACGAAACUUGCCCCGA
rnacentral:rRNA from 1 species